rnacentral:sRNA from 1 species
AUGUAUCUUUUUUUGUAAAUGCCAGUUAUCAUAUGCAAUGUCAACCCGUGCGUGCACGGGUCAAAGUCUAGUGAUUUUAUAUACUUAUUGAUUAUAAGUGAAUAAUAUCCAUUCAAAGAUGCCUAAUAUUAAAAUUUUCCUUAUUUUUAAGCUUGUUACCAUAGCAAUGGUUCUCAAUUUUCAUAUUUAAAUUUUUUAUUGCACGAUCGUAAAAGUGUUUACCAAAAAAUCCAAGAUUUGCACUUUUUAUUCAAAUUAAACGAAGAAAACAGAUUUUAAAAUUUCAGUUAAGUAACCAUGGAAAUGCUCUAUAAAUAUGCGUUUCUCCAUAAAUUUUUUUCUUUCUUUUGAAAAAUGACAACUAUUUUUACUAAUAUAUUCUACCCUGGAAACUCCAAGUUCUGCACAUUACUCACAUUAUGUUCUCAAAUAAGCAUUAAAAUGCCAUUUUUACAUCUUUACCUUUGGUUACCAUGGCAAUGGGACCACAUAGCAACAAACAAAUGGUGUUAGGCUUUUUUACUCGCCAAAGUCUAUCAAAUUGUCAAGUAUGAAGAAAAUCCGUGACUGCUUGGCCACCGAAUUUUGAUUCUCACAUAGAAUUGAUCUUAAGGUACCUCGUACCUCACUACAUCAAGACCUUUUACGACACUACGUCACAAGAUAGCUAUUUAAUUGUUGCGUUAAAUUGUAUCAUCAUAGUUCAGAAGUUACAGUAUCAGGCUUCUGAACUACAGAUCACAUUUGGGGCUUUUGAAAUUUUUGCCUUUUUGACUUACAGGCUUCUGAUUAGUGAUCCACCUCAAUGUACUAUUUGGCAGGUUUCAAUAGACUACCAAUAAAGUCAUAUUGUGUUUUAUUUGUGUUACCCAAGUAGGUUCAUAUAGGUCAUUUGAUAGAUAUUUUUAAAAAAGCAUAGUCUAUGUGCCUUUUACUACAAUAAAAAGUAAAACUUG